CUUCCAUUUCAGAUCUUCACAGGAUAAUAGAAAUGAUCAAAACCCAUCACUUCAGCAAAGAACAACAGACAUUCUAGAAUUCGAAGGACAGACUGAACUUCAUGGAUAUGAAUAUAGUUAAAUGAUGGCAUAGGUAAAUCCCGUAUCUGAUAUAGCCUAUUUUUUAGAAAACACUACAUCUCUCAUCAUAACCUAUUACAUAUCAUGAGCUACCUGGGGACACACACAAAAAUAAUUAAGAACAUAUGCAUGCACCAAGUGGUCUCUUGGGAGGGGGCAAGAUUGAAAUGCGUACCCCUCAGAAUCCCAGAUUUUGGUGUCUUUACCCAUUUUCCCACCUUGGCUCAAUCUGCUCCUAGAUUGCCACUUUCUGAUAAUGUUUUAUUUAACUUUAAGGGCACCUAUGGGCUAAAGUUUCAUUAUCUGUGCUGAGUCUUGUUCCUCCUUACAAGAAUGAUAAUUGCAGUUUGCUGGUAGCACAAGAUUAGUGUGCUGAUCUUUACAGUAAGCAUUAGGAGGCCAGAAUAUUUGGUUGUAACUUCCAUGUCAUGUUUAAGGUAAGAGUUGGUACCAGAGUCAAGGAUAGUUCUUUGAGUGGGGGGCCACUAGGGGGCGCAUCGGAAGAUGGCUGACAAUAACAUCUCUCCGACCCACACAAGGUAAUUUGGAGGCUAUGAUGGGAGUAAUUAGCCUCCCUAACCCCCCCAGGACGGUGGGGGGGACUGCCUUUGCCUGCUGUGCCCUAUACCACCCCCGAACUUGUGGGGAUGGGGGCACUAGGCACAAAGCCCUCCUGUGGGAUUCCGGCACUCCUGGACGCCAUCCCUGAUUCGCGCCACUAGUUGCUUGAACUUCAAAAGAAAACAAUUUGGAUGAAGGAAUGCACAUAUUUCAAGGAAGAAGGGGAGUAAAGACUGCUAUAGAAGAGAUCUCUGAUAAAACAAGACAAGAAUAAAACAUGAGAAGAUACGCCAAGACACGGUAUGGCAAAUGACUGAUGGGGGAGGGGGAAAAAACUUUCCUUUCUUUUCUUAUAUGAUUAACAAGAAUCCCCUCCCCUCACGAGUCACGAGUCAGCAAUUGUCGUUUUAAGGACUUAAGCUGUGGAUUUAAGGCUGUGUGGAGAUAAACUUUCGAACCAAAGCAUGUUUUAAGAAGAGCGAGGAAUGUAUAAGAGCUUGGGAAUGACGCAGUUAAAAAUGCCAUCGCCAUAUUGGGAAGUUCUGUCGGAGGUCUUGAGUCUGGGAGGAGAAAGAGAGAAUAGAGCUGUUUAUAUAUUGUGGGUGAAACUCCUCAGAGGGACUUAAGAGCGACAGCUUUGCGAGAUGGAAAGAGCGAUGUUAUCUAUGAAGGCAAUGAUAUAUGGAAACCAUCUCGAUUUGAGGAAUGGAAGAACGGAAAAUUCACACAGGAUUAUUAUUAUUAUUGGUGUUUAUCGGCUUAAGGAGACUAUCAGAAGAGAUCAUAAAGAAAAAAGAGAAAAUAUAUAAACAAGAUGUGAUGUGGAAACAGCAAGAAAAGACUGGAUAGAAUUAUAAACUCUGUUUGGACUGAUUUGGACUGAUUUGGACAUUAACGCAGUAGCAAGAAGAUGAUCAGAAUCCCCCUUCGGAUUUUGAAAUAUGGGUCCCCCCAACAAAAAAUUUAAAAUUUGGCUUUGUAAUUCGGAAUUUAUGUGAUGUGAUUUAAUUUGAUUUGAUUGGCCGGUUAAUAAUUUUAUUAUUUUUUUUUAAAUGGAUAGUUCUUUGAGUAUUAUAAGUAAUAUAAUACUUAUAUUAAAGCAAUGCCAAGUGCACUGAUAUAAUGAUUCACUUGAUAAACCAUGUAAGAAGUCCAGAUGAGCACACACUAUUGCACACACUCCAACACAAAUAAGGAACUUCUCAUUUUGUAUAGUUAUCUUCAUUCUUGCAUGUCGUCUUGUAUGUCCCCUGACUUUUGGUGUAUUUCCCCAUUCUUCCACCUUGGUUCAAUCUAAUCUCUGUGUUUUCAUGGGGCCAUCCAUGUGAACGUCCAUUAAUCUGACCAUCAAGCAUUCAGCUGAAGCCUCCAAAUGAGCAUAGCACAACCUGCUCCUUGGCUGUCAAUUGCUGAUACAGUUGGAUUUAGCAUAUGGUCUCCAGCAUAUGUAAUCCACCAAAUUACAGGGUGGUGAAAUCCAUCUCUGACUGGGUGAUAGUGCAACUGUAUAAUAAUUGCAACACAGAAUCCAGCUGUUCUCUCCUGUGGAUUGAGUUCUGCUGACAAGACCUUGAUCCUCUAUCUAAUUGUCACUCACCAGGAGAAAAGAAACUAUGCAUAAGAUUCUGUUUCUUGGCCUCUCCAGCCUCCUCUGCUGUGCUCUGGGUGAGUAGCAAAAAAAUAUAGCUUGGCACUGUGCAGCUGGAGCAAAUCUGCUACUCCUGCCAAUUCAAGCUAAAAAUGUGCAUUUUUAAGGAACACGGGAAGAAACACAGGAUGUACAUGAGAUGCUACCCUUCAGUGACUUUAAAACUUGUUUGAUAUCCACAAUUGUGCUUUAUGCAAGCCACAUAGAGUUUGGGAAAGGUAAGAAUCAAUGCUUUUAUUUGUUUAUUUGUUUUAUAAAGCAGCUCUUCUUUCCAACAGUUGAUGCUCUCACUUGCCAUGAAUGCAAAAAAUAUGAUCCCACUGCUGGCUGUGUCACUGGAGAAUCGAUUUGUACAGCUCGGAAAAGACAAUACUGCGUGCUGAUCUAUGUUGAAAGUAUGUUUGGCUCCAUUUGCAAUUGAGCUUGCAUUAAUUCUAUAUAGUGUCUCUGGUCCUUAUUUUCUAGCUCCUGGAUAUUCACACUAUAUUACAAAUAGUCUGGCAUCGUGUAAUAACGGCUGCUUUUUAUUUGCCAUGACUGAAUGAAUGCCUCCACCUCUUCUACUGGUAUAGUCACACUUCAUGUUUAUUAUAAGGUGAUAACUAUCACCCAGGCACCCUGGAACUCUUGUUCUUCCUGACACACACCUCCCAGAAGAUGUAGAUGUAGAUGUAGUGAUGGCCACCAAUUUGGGUGGCUUAAAAAAACAGAUUAAACAAAUUCACAGAGGAGAAGACUAUCAACAGCUUCAAGGCGCAGUGGCCAUUUAUUACCUCCAACAUCAGAAGCACUGAGAGAGCUACAAUAUCCAGAAUCAAUCCCUUUCCCUAGGGAACUUUGGGAAUUGUAGCUCCAUGAGUGGAAUAGUGGUCUCCUAACAAUACUCAGCAGGGACACGGGUGGCGCUGUGGGUUAAACCGCUGUACCACUUGGGCUUGCCAAUCGAAAGGUCGGCGGUUCAGAUCCUUGCGACAGGGUAAGCUCCUGUUGUUCGGUCCCAGCUUCUGCCAAACCAGCAGUUCGAAAGCACACAGUGCAUGUAGAUAAAUAGGUACUGCUCCGGCAGGAAGGUAAAUGGUGUUUCCGUGCACUUCUCUGGUUUCGCCAGAAGCGGCUUAGUCAUGCUGACCACAUGACCCGAAAAAACUGUAUGCGGAAGUGGACAAACGCCAGCUCCCUCGGCCUUUAAAGCAAGAUGAGCACCACAACCCCAGAGUCAUUCAUGACUGGACUUAAUUGUCGGGGGUCCCUUUACCUUUACCCUAACAAUACUCAGCACCUUUUACAAACUACAGUUUGUGAGAAAUCAUGAAAUGUAUCAUGAGCUCUUUACACUCUAGUAUGUCUUUGCAGGUCCCAGUAUUGCUGUUUAGGUGUUAGAAGACCACGUGAGAGUAUAAUAGGGGGUUUGAAGGUACAUACUGCAGCCCCAGCCCCAAUUUUCAUGGCCCUGCCCACAUGACCUCUGACAUUCCCAUGCUGAGAGGUCUGCAUCUCACACGGCUGACACACCCUUACAUGCUCUUUGAAGCUCUGAGCAGGGCUAUUGCUUCUCUACAUCUAUUUUUGCAUCUCUAUGUAAAACAUAUCAGGGGUCCAAAGCAUUAUCAGUUUAAUGAUCUCUGCUCAGGGCAGGUAAUAAGGAGUGUUGUGGAUAUACUAAAUGAGUUCCCUUUCCUCCUUUUCCACAGAGGGGAAGACACCAUUUUAUAAGCAACUAUGCUCUACAAACCAUACUCCAUGUGACGUUGUGGAAUUGAGCGCAGAUGGUAAAAAAACGGCAACAUGUUGUAAUUCCCAUGACCUCUGCAAUGCACCAAAGUAACAUAUCUGCGAAACCAUUGGGUCUUUCUUCUCUGUUAUAUUCAAAGAUUUAUGGCCUUGUUCUGCUGUCAUCCCAAGCAUCUAGCAUCUGCUCAAGACAAGUAGAUCCUGGAUCAGCUAUCAAUUUGGCCAAGUGUUAAUGCCAUCAGAUACCAAAAUGUACUGCAUGCCAGGUAACAAAUACUGUCAGC